CAACAAAAUAUACUUUUUCCUAGGUAAUGAGCACAGCAAAUUAUAGAAUUACUAAAAUGCCCUUUGGUGUGCAAUCCAAAGUUUGUUACUGGCCCUAAUUGUCCCCAAACGCAGCAAACCCUAAACCCCCAGCCUCCAUUCUCCCUCGCUUCCUUCUGUCUCUCUGAUCCCGCUCCGUCGCGUUUCUUGCUUCACAGCUUCAGUCUCUUUCCUUCCUCCCGUCGUCGACUCCCGUCGCGCGGUCUUGUCCCUUGCUUCGGCUGCGUCGUUCUUCCGUCGUUUCCUCAGUUCGGGAAUACGCAUGGCUUGAUUUAAUGACUGAAAUAUGCAUGGCCAACUCAAUUUCACCGGCCACGAAAUGGAGUUCUAUACCAAUUCGCAACUGGUGCUUACGAAAUUGGGGGAACAGCAGCAGACAUUUCAACUUCGUGGCUGCCACAAAGGAGAUGAGGCACAUCAAGGACGGCGCACACGAAUUGGGCGAUCUCAAGCCCACCGGCCACGAAAUUGGCCAAUUAGCUGGCGGCGACCACGAAGUGGGAAGGUUCGUUGCUGGCGCCCACGAGUUGGCUGUUCUAAACGACAGCAGCAGCAAGCUCACAUGCAUUGGCUGUGUCGGGUGACAGGGGACAGUUGGAAAGGGAGCCAAGAGUGGUAUAAAAGAGGGGUGGGGAGAGCUUUCAUGCACGGUUAAAUUGGAAGAGGGGUAAGAAAAAAAAAGUGGUUAGCAUGGUAAAUGAAACCUGAGAGGAGGUGAGCUUCAAUAAAAAAAUUAACUUAAUAUGAGUGGGGGUGGGGUGAACAUGGAGGAGAACUUGAACCGGCUGGACGAACAUUAUAUAGCGGCACAUUUAUUCCAUAAGGUUUGUUUACGCCAUUAAUCCGAUUGCUAUUGUUAGAGAUUGUUAGUAAUAUUUUUUCGAUAUUUACCUUUUUUACAGAGUAUUUGUAACUGUUGUCUUUCUUGGCUUCUUAUGUUGUAGCUCACACGUGUUCUUACUCCUCAUUGCACGCUCGUUGAUGUUUUCAUGUUAGAGCCUAGGAUCCAACCAUGGAAAUUAGGCGGGAAAGGCUCCACCUUUGUUUGAGACGCACUGGAUUUUAUCAUGCCUCUUUGAUCAAGCGCUUCGAGUACGACAAUCAACUUAUUAGUGCCUUUGUGUAACGGUGGCGUCCGGAGACGCAUAGGUUUCAUCUCCCUUGGGGUGAGUGUACCAUAACUCUGGAGGAUGUAGCCAUGCAGCUAGGUCUAGAAGUUCAUGACACAAUUUCCAAAUAUCUCUCUGAUGAAACUUACUCCAUGACCUCAACGUCUAACAGGCUGACCAUCAUCAUUCCCAAAUAUUUCUCUGAUAAAACUUACUCCAUGACCUUAACGUACCGCUAGGUAGACCUAGCUGCAUGGCUACAUCCUCCAGAGUUAUGGUACACUCACCCCAAGGGAGAUGAAACCUAUGCGUCUCCGGAUGCCACCGUUCCACAAAGGCACUAAUAAGUGGAUUGUCGUACUCGAAGCGCUUGAUCAAAGAAGCAUGAUAAAAUCCAAAUCCAGUGCGUCUCAAACAAGGGUCGAGCCUCUCCCGCCUAAUUUCCAUGGUUGGAUCCCAGGCUCUAACAUGAAAACAUCAACGAGUGUGCAAUGAGGAGUAAGAACACGUGUGGGCUACAACAUAAGAAGCCAAGAAAGACAACAGUUACAAAUACUCUGUAAAAAAGGUAAAUAUCGAAAAAAUAUUACUAACAAUCCCUAACAAUAGCAAUCGGAUUAAUAGCGUAAACAAACCUUAUGGAAUAAAUGUGCCGCUAUAUGAUUGUUCGUCCAACCGGUUCAAGUUCUCCUCCACGUUCACCACACCCCCAAUCAUAUUAAGUUAAUUUUUUUUAUUGAAAAACUCACUACCAGAAGCUCACCUCCUCUCAGGUUUCAUUUACCAUGCUAACCACUUUUUUUUCCUACCCCUCUUCCAAUUUAACCGUGCAUGAAAGCUCUCCCCACCCCUCUUUUAUACCACUCUUGGCUCCCUUUCCAACUGUCCCCUAUCACUCGACAUAGCCAAUGCAUGUGAGCUUGCUGUUGCUGCCGUUUAGAACAGCCAACUCGUGGGCGCCAGCAACGAACCUCUCCACUUUGUGGUCGCCGCCAGCUAAUUGGCCAAUUUCGUGGCCGGUGGGCUUGAGAUCGCCCAAUUCGUGUACGCCGUCUUUGAUGUGCCUCAUCUCUUUUGUGGUAGCCAUGAAGUUGAAAUGCCUGCUACUGUUCCCCCCAUUUCGUGGGCGUUAGUUGCGAGUUGGUAUGGAACUCCAUUUCGUGAGUGGUAAAGUUGAGUUGGUCAUGCGUAUUCCAGUCAUUAAAUCAAGAUUCCU